rnacentral:rRNA from 1 species
UGCGUCUGAUUAGCUUGUUGGUGCGGGCAACGGCCCACCAAGGCGACGAUCAGUAGGGGUUCUGAGAGGAAGGUCCCCCACAUUGGAACUGAGACACGGUCCAAACUCCUACGGGAGGCAGCAGUGAGGGAUAUUGGUCAAUGGACGUAAGUCUGAACCAGCCAAGUAGCGUGCAGGAUUGACGGCCCUAUGGGUUGUAAACUGCUUUUGUUGGGGAGUAAAGUGAGGCACGCGUGCCUUUUUGCAUUUACCCUUCGAAUAAGGACCGGCUAAUUCCGUGCCAGCAGCCGCGGUAAUACGGAAGGUCCAGGCGUUAUCCGGAUUUAUUGGGUUUAAAGGGAGUGUAGGCGGUCUGUUAAGCGUGUUGUGAAAUUUAGGUGCUCAACAUCUACCUUGCAGCGCGAACUGGCGGACUUGAGUGCACGCAACGUAUGCGGAAUUCAUGGUGUAGCGGUGAAAAUGCUUAGAUAUCAUGACGAACUCCGAUUGCGAAGGCAGCGUACGGGAGUGUUACUGACGCUUAAGCUCGAAGGUGCGGGUAUCGAACAGGAUUAGAUACCCUGGUAGUCCGCACGGUAAACGAUGGAUGCCCGCUGUUAGCGCCUGGCGUUAGCGGCUAAGCGAAAGCAUUAAGCAUCCCACCUGGGGAGUACGCCGGCAACGGUGAAACUCAAAGGAAUUGACGGGGGCCCGCACAAGCGGAGGAACAUGUGGUUUAAUUCGAUGAUACGCGAGGAACCUUACCCGGGCUUGAAUUGCAGACGCAGGAUACAGAGAUGUUGACUCCNUUCGGGGCGUCUGUGAAGGUGCUGCAUGGUUGUCGUCAGCUCGUGCCGUGAGGUGUCGGCUUAAGUGCCAUAACGAGCGCAACCCCUUUCCUUAGUUGCCAUCAGGUUAUGCUGGGCACUCUGGGGAUACUGCCACCGCAAGGUGUGAGGAAGGUGGGGAUGACGUCAAAUCAGCACGGCCCUUACGUCCGGGGCUACACACGUGUUACAAUGGCCGGUACAGAGGGACGGUGCGAUGCAAAUCGCAUCCAAUCUUGAAAGCCGGUCCCAGUUCGGACUGAGGUCUGCAACCCGACCUCACGAAGCUGGAUUCGCUAGUAAUCGCGCAUCAGCCAUGGCGCGGUGAAUACGUUCCCGGGCCUUGUACACACCGCCCGUCAAGCCAUGAAAGCCGGGGGUGCCUGAAGUUCGUAACCGCGAGGAGCGACCUAGGGCAAAACUGGUGAUUGGGGCUAAGUCGUAACAAGGUAGCCGU